rnacentral:rRNA from 1 species
GACAGAGGGGGCAAGCGUUGCUCGGAAUCACUGGGCGUAAAGGGCGCGUAGGCGGGAUGGCAAGUCGGUCGUGAAAUCCCUCGGCUCAACCGAGGAGCGUCGGCCGAUACUGCCGUUCUUGAGGGAUGCAGAGGAGACUGGAAUUCCCGGUGUAGCGGUGAAAUGUGUAGAGAUCGGGAGGAACACCGGUGGCGAAGGCAGGUCACUGGGCCGCAACUGACGCUGAGGAGCGAAAGCAUGGGGAGCGAACAGG